UACGGGAGUGGCAAGCGUUAUCCGGAAUCAUUGGGCGUAAAGCGUCCGCAGGCGGCCUUGUAAGUCUGCUGUUAAAACGUGGAGCUUAACUCCAUUUCAGCGGUGGAAACUACAAGGCUUGAGUGUGGUAGGGGCAGAGGGAAUUCCCGGUGUAGCGGUGAAAUGCGUAGAUAUCGGGAAGAACACCAGUGGCGAAGGCGCUCUGCUGGGCCAUAACUGACGCUCAUGGACGAAAGCCAGGGGAGCGAAAGGG
rnacentral:misc_RNA from 1 species